rnacentral:rRNA from 1 species
UACGGGGGGGGCAAGCGUUGUUCGGAAUUACUGGGCGUAAAGGGCUCGUAGGCGGCCUACUAAGUCGGAUGUGAAAUCCCCAGGCUCAACCUGGGAACUGCAUCCGAUACUGGAUGGCUUGAAUCCGGGAGAGGGAUGCAGAAUUCCAGGUGUAGCGGUGAAAUGCGUAGAUAUCUGGAGGAAUACCGGUGGCGAAGGCGGCAUCCUGGACCGGCAUUGACGCUGAUGAGCGAAAGCCAGGGGAGCAAACGGG